rnacentral:tRNA from 1 species
CGCCAGAUAGCUCAACUGGUAGAGCACCUGACUAGAGAGAUUCAAGGGGCCCGGGUUUGAAUCCUGAUUUGGCCA